AGCAGCCGCGGUAAUUCCAGCUCCAAUAGCGUAUAUUAAAGUUGUUGCAGUUAAAAAGCUCGUAGUUGAACUUCGGGGUUUACCCAUUGGUCAGGCUUAAUUGUCUGUACUGGUGAGAUAAAUCUCUACCUUCUGAGGAACUUUCAUGCCAUUUAUUUGGUGUGAUGGGAAAUCAGGACUGUUACUUUGAAAAAUUAGAGUGUUUAAAGCAGGCUAACGUCUGAAUACAUUAGCAUGGAAUAAUGAAAUAGGACGGACUGAUUCUAUUUCGUUGGUUUCUAGGAUCACCGUAAUGAUUAAUAGGGAUAGUUGGGGGCAUUAGUAUUCAAUUGUCAGAGGUGAAAUUCUUGGAUUUAUUGAAGACUAACUACUGCGAAAGCAUUUGCCAAGGAUGUUUUCAUUAAUCAAGAACGAAAGUUAGGGGAUCGAAGACGAUCAGAUACCGUCGUAGUCUUAACCAUAAACUAUGCCGACUAGGGAUCGGACGAAGUUAAUUUUAUAAUGACGCGUUCGGCACCUU
rnacentral:rRNA from 1 species